rnacentral:rRNA from 1 species
AACGAACGCUGGCGGCAUGCCUAACACAUGCAAGUCGAACGAGACCUUCGGGUCUAGUGGCGCACGGGUGCGUAACGCGUGGGAACCUGCCCUUAGGUUCGGAAUAACUCCCCGAAAGGGGUGCUAAUACCGGAUAAUGUCUUCGGACCAAAGAUUUAUCGCCUUUGGAUGGGCCCGCGUUGGAUUAGCUAGUUGGUAGGGUAAAAGCCUACCAAGGCGACGAUCCAUAGCUGGUCUGAGAGGAUGAUCAGCCACACUGGGACUGAGACACGGCCCAGACUCCCCCGGGAGGCAGCAGUGGGGAAUAUUGGAAAAGGGGCGAAAGCCUGACCCAGCAUGGCCGCGUGGGUGAUGAAGGCCUUAGGUUUGUAAAGCUCUUUUCCCCGGGAUGAUAAUGCCAGUCCCGGGAAAAUAAGCCCCGGCUACCUCCUU